rnacentral:miRNA from 1 species
CUAGUUCUUUCGAUAUCAGUGUAAUCUAAUAAUCAUGAUAUUUCAAUGUAAUCUAAUAAUCAUGAUAUUUGCCAACACAGCAAAUAUCAUGAUUAUUAGUUUACACUGAUAUCGAAGGAACUA